UUUUUCUUUUUUUUUCUUUUCUUUUUUCUUUUUUUCUGAAAAAGCUGUUUUU
rnacentral:ribozyme from 1 species